AUAAAAUAAAUACCACACUAUUUCUAUUUUCGUUUGUUUUCUCUCUCGCUUGAGAUCACAUCAACGAAUCAGAGGUGGAGAUUGUGCGAUAAAAAAAAAUGGUAUUGAAAAGUCUUCUCCUAGUUUUGGUAGCGAAUUGUCAGGCUGCAAGUUCACGAGAUUAUACAUUAUAAAUGUAUGACUUUGGCCCCCCAAAUGAUCCAUCUUCUCGCGCUUUUACCUAAAAUGGAGCAAAGUAUACUGAUACCCUUUCAUGCAUGAUUUCGUAUUACUUGGAAUACUUGGAAAACCAGUUACUUGUAGCUGAGGAUCUUGCUUUGAAAAUUAUUUUGUCAUUUUUUCUUGGAAAAAAUUCUUGGAAACGUUUUGCGUUGCAUAUCACAUAGAAUCAUUAUUAAAGGAAAAGGUUGGUGACCUUCAUGUCCGGAAAGAGUUAAUAUGAUAUGACCAAACUGAUGGUAUAAAAUAAACACCAUACCCUUUUUAUUUUCAUUUGUUUUCUCUCUCGCUUGAGAUCACAUCAACGAAGCAGAAGUGGAGAUUGUGCGAUAAAAAAAAAUGGUAUUGAAAAGUCUUCUUCUCCUAGUUUUGGCAGCGUAUUGUCAGGCUGCAAGUUCACGAGUUGAAAAAAACGUUUGUUUCAAGAUUUAUUCUGCUCGAUAUGGCUACGUAGCGCAUUAUGGUAUUUAUGACGAUCUUGAUUUGCUGGAGUUUUCCUUUUACAAACCCGCUGCUGUAUUCAAAUUUCUUCCAAAUUUUGCUUCAAGAGAUGUCGACCAAGAAAUGUGUACAUAGGUUAAGCAACGGAAAUAGGCAGUUGGUACUUAGAUAUAAUUGUUCUGAGGCGAGCGUGUUUCCAGUUGAUAUCUGGAAAUACAAUUCUUUCAAGAAGUGGCUAAUAGAUGUCACAUGCCCUGGUUUUGUAUGCUGGAGCCCAUGGGCUAAUUCUAUACCACCUUAUGACAUCAAGAUAUUGGCAGGUCUUUCUCCAUGCGAUGUAUGGAAUCAAGUGAAUUUGGUCUUAGUUUCCUGCACUGCCGGCUCGCCAGACGAACUUAAAAACCAGAAGUAUUACAUGAAGAAAUAUAAAAGCAUGAACGCUAAAUGAAGUAGUAAGCAGACAAGAUAUAUGUAAAACAAUUCUAGGAUUUUAAUAAAAAGUGGAUUUUUCUAUCUAA